rnacentral:lncRNA from 13 species
CUUUACCUAUGUCUUAAAUAGCAUUUUCUGUUUUUGUCUAAUUGAUUGACUGCCUAAUGACUGAAGUAUUUUGCUCUGAGUAUUUUGGGUCUGCUGAUGUGGCCUCUCAACAGGGGGAUAAUGUGAACUGAAGUGAGAGAACAUUUCGGUAAGAGGAGGAGGCAGAAAGAAGGGAGGAGGGAGAGAUAAGGUGAAAAUGUAAAAAUAGACAAUCAAAUAAAAGGAGAGAGAAAGUAUGGGAGCAGAUUUGGACCAUAAAAACAGAUACCUUCAAAAGGUGUGUGAAAAGGAGAGGGAAAGCUAUGCAGCUGGCAAGACGCAGGAGAACAAGGAAAAUAGCAACGGAGGACAGAAGCAAGUGAAACUGCCUGCCAUCUUGACCACAAUGCACCUGACUAUAAACCUGCUCUGCCUGCUGGUCCUGACCUUUCACCUUGACCUGGCCAUGGGAGGAAGAUCCCAGCGCAAACAAAGGCAGGCUGAGGACAGUCUAAGACCAUACCUGGGAAGAGUGGACCCAGUCCAACUGUGUGAGCUGCUGAAGUGUCACAGUCCAAUGGGCUCCUGGUGCCAAGUGGUGCAGGACAACGAAGUCCUCGUCCCAAAGUGUGUGUGUCCGAAGACCUGCCCACGGCAGGGGGCACCAGUGUGCAGUGUUCUGGGAAAGACCUAUGGAAAUGAGUGUCUGCUGCAUAGAGAAGCCUGCCGCAAGAGACGUCGCAUUGGACUGGCUCAUAUAGGACCCUGUCUUGUUCCCAAGGCAAACUGCACAGAGGAGGAGUAUGGCCAAUUCCCAUACCGUCUAAUGGACUGGUUCCUCCUGUUAAGUCGUAUGGGAAAGUCUUAUGCCCCCUAUGCCCUGCCCCAGAGCUGCCUGAGCCAUACCCAGCGCACCCAACUAGCCCAGCGGCGGUUUUCCCUGCUGGACAAGAACAAGGACGGGAAGCUGAGCCAGAGGGACCUGAGGAAGUUGCGCUACAAGAGGAUGCCUCUCGAGCAAUGUGCUAACUUCUUCUUCCAGUCAUGUGACCAUAACAAGAACAGUAAGGUGACCCUGCAUGAAUGGAUCUCCUGUCUGGUGGAUCGCUCAGAGAGCUGGUUCCAAAACUUCAUGUCUAUGCAAAUGGGAUCCGGUAAGCUGUGUCCCAUGAAGACCGACAACCACCUUUGACCUGGACAAGAACACAUCUCCUCUCGCUUGUCUACAUGUGCAUCUGUUUAUCACUGCUAUCUACAAUAAUAAGCAUACAAAAUGAUCCACUUUUCUCCACUUCCAGCUUCAUACUCCCCUAACUGUCACACUCAGUACUGUGUUUGUUUUUGACUUAUGACAUCUGUUUUCUGACGGUCACUGUACAUUCAUCUGUGUGGAGAAAUGGCCUGUAAUAAAUGUCUGAGACCUGGCUGCCCCAUUAGUGUCUGUAUGGGAUGGCCUGAGGAGAGAGGGGCUCAUUAAGAACCAGGAGGACGUGUCGCAUGGAUCAAGCAUCCAAUUACUGUAGGAAAGAGAGGUAGAGAAAGACUCAUAGAGACAGUUGGAUACUAUGAUAGAGGGAAGAGAUGGAAAAGAGAUGAUGGAAGGCGAGGAAGCUUAGUGUGAGACGCCGUGACCAGGGAAGGGAACGAGGGAUAAUGGAGGGGAGGGAUCAGAAAUUAGAAAAAGAACGGGAGGGGGAUGGAAUAGUCGGAAAGAAGUAAAGUUAGGGGAAAAAUAAAGUAUGUGAGAAGUUUGAGAGGUUUGAUGUGGGGAAUAUUAGCCACAGUGUAUGAUAUUUGUCAAGAGGAAAUUUAGAAAUAAUGACUUCUUGUAUGUCAAAGAUCCAAAUCAUUAGCCAUUAACAGGCUUAUACAUUCCAGUACAUUCUAUCAUAUUGAGGUAUUUCAGCUGUUGCCUCAGCUUUUCCAUAGCUCUAGUUUUUGUUUUGUGUGUGUGCGUACGUGUGUGUGUACUCUCAAAGAUCAGUAGGGGAUGUACGUGGCCCGGGGUGGGUUCUUCCGUUCCACUGGUGUCUCUGGACUAAUUAGCCCUCAGAUUUUGCUUCGCCGGGAGGAUGGUGAGAGAGAGAGAAAGAGAGAGAUAUGUAUUUCAAUAUUCAACAUAGGAUAGAGAUGCUUCCCAGACAUGGGGCAAAUGAGGAAUGAGAGUUGCAAUGUGUCCAGAAAAAAACCAAAGAAUCAAAACAAGAUUUUUUUCCUGACGUCUCAGAUUCGCUCUCAUCACUUUUGAUGAAGACGAGACCACUGGAGGCUGUAAAACAUAUCAGAGUUUUUAAAAAGAAGAUAGGAAAAAAAAACAGACGGCAAGGGCAGCUAUAAAUGAAGAGAUAUAGGUACGUGAUCGGAGAUCAGCCAGAGCCAAUUGAGAGCAGGCUGUAUUUGCUAAUAAGUGACCUGCUAAACAAGCUGUUUACGCAGUCACCAUCGCAAGGGGAAAGGAGAUCUGAAUACAAAGUCCCACCUUCAAUUGCUCCCCCAUCCCAGGGGACUCGCUCCUUUAUCUGUGAAAAUUAAAUUAAUUGUUGGCGCCACCCCUGGAGGUUCCAGCCUCCCUUCCCUCUUUGUGUCUUCAUACCCCUACGUUGAUACAUUCCCACUUAUUACCUCAGGACAGCCUGCCCCACCUUCAAACCUACCCUCCCACACCCAGGGGAGGCUAAUACUGAUCCAAAGGCUGCCCAUCCGAUCCCAGACAGUUGUCCCUCCCUACUUACUCACACUCACCUACAAUCAUUCUCUUCUCUUUCUGUUGUCAUGUUGGAAGUUGAAUAGCUCAAUCUUUCCCACCUCCCAACCCAACCUUUUCCUCUCCCUCCUGGUGAUCUGAUCUAAGAUGGUGUUUGUUCUCUCCUCUCUCUCUAUCUCUCUCUAUCUCUUCUCUCUCUCAAGGGACUCUCUGCCAGCUCAGGAGCAGAUGGGUGGCUGGUGAUGAUAUGUUGUUAAUAAAGAUUCCUCUUAACCCAUUGUCAGCUAGCGCCCUCUCUAUUUCUUUCUUUCUUUCUUUCUCAAAACACUGCCCACGCAACACUUUACAACAUAGUCGCAGUACUGUGCCGCUACUGCUCUGCAGACAGUAGCCCAGCUGUCUGUCCCGUACGACUGAG